UAGUCCACGCUGUAAACGAUGUCUACUAGCCGUCGGGGUCCUUAGUGACUUUGGUGGCGCAGCUAACGCGAUAAGUAGACCGCCUGGGGAGUACGGCCGCAAGGUUAAAACUCAAAUGAAUUGACGGGGGCCCGCACAAGCGGUGGAGCAUGUGGUUUAAUUCGAUGCAACGCGAAGAACCUUACCAGGUCUUGACAUCCUCGGAAUUUGGCAGAGAUGCCUUAGUGCCUUCGGGAGCCGAGUGACAGGUGCUGCAUGGCCGUCGUCAGCUCGUGUCGUGAGAUGUUGGGUUAAGUCCCGUAACGAGCGCAACCCUUGUCCUUAGUUGCCAGCACGUAAUGGUGGGAACUCUAGGGAGACUGCCGGUGACAAACCGGAGGAAGGUGGGGACGACGUCAGGUCAUCAUGGCCCUUACGACCUGGGCUACACACGUGCUACGAUGGCCGAGACAAUGAGUUACAAAUCUGCGAAGAUAAGUUAAUCUAUAAACUCGUUCUAAGUUCGGA
rnacentral:rRNA from 1 species